CCUUAACUGGCUAUGUUGACAGUAUUUUGUCAGAUACGCGCAGUAUCACGCGGUACGCGCUAAUACUCGAAUAAUAGAGUUUCUUAGCGUUUUAAUUUAUUUUUCCUUACGGAUAUGAGAAAAAUUACCAUUCUAAUCAUAACAAACUAUUUUUAGGAUUUUAACAUUGAUCAGGUGGUCACCGACGUUCGUUUCGCAUUUUAUUCGUUACGCGAUAAACGUUUAUCUUAUCAUUGCCAACAUAAUUUUUAUCAAUGUUUGGAUUCACCAACACAUUAAAUAUCACAUAUAAGCAUCAAUAUCAGUCAAAUACAGCCUUUUUAUUUAUUCACGUCACGCGUUACAUCUGUACGGUACGGCCUAAAAGCCAGGUGUCACAGUCUCCCCCUGUUUAGGGAAUUUCGUCCCCGAAAUUCUACUCUACAGGUUUCGUUUUCGCACUAGGUGGGAAGAGGUGAGGAUAUUUCCAUUGCACUGGUCCAGUCGUUCCCAGGUGUACUCGGGUCCAUGUUUAGAAUCCCAGCGAACCUUGACCAACUUAAUCCUACUCCUCCUGAGUUUCUGAAUUUUCCAAUCCAGAACCUCUACUGGUUCUUCGAUAAAUCUCAGUUUAUCGUCCACUCGAACCUCUCCAGGGGGUAUAAUCAGCGUCUCAUCAGACAUACACUUUUUCAAAUUGGAGACAUGAAACACGUCAUGAACUCCACUCAACUCUUGCGGCAGCUUAAGCCUAUACGCGACUGAUCCAACCCGAGAUGCGAUUUCGAAAGGACCUAUAUAACGCGCCCCCUUUUCCAAACAGUCAACGCCUUUCCAAGGCAAUACCUUCAACAUAACUCGAUCACCGACCUAAAAGUCCAACGGUUUCCUUCGGUUAUCCGCAUAACUCUUCUGUCGAUCUGCGGCAGCUUUCAACCUUCCCUUAAUCUGGACAACCUUGUCCGUGGUUUCCUUGAUAAGCUCGGGUCCAGUCAAUUGCUUCUCGCUGACUUCAGCCCAACAAAGUGGCGAUCGACACUUCCUUCCAUACAAGGCUUCAAAAGGAGCGGCCUUGAUACUAGCGUGGUAACUAUUGUUGUAAGAAAACUCAGCCAACGGCAAGUGAGUAUCCCAACUUCCACCGAAAUCAAUCGCAUAUGCUCUCAACAUAUCCUCUAACGUCUGAAUGGUUCUUUCACCCUGACCAUCCGUUUGAGGAUGAUACGCAGUACUCAUGUCCAAACGAGAACCCAACGACUCUUGAAAAGAUCGCCAAAACCUGGAGUCAAACCGACUGUCUCUAUCCGAGAUAAUUGACACUGGUACUCCAUGACGGUCUACAAUCUCGUUAAGGUACAACUGCGAUAUCUUCUCCGUAUUGUCUGUUUCCUUAAGCGCCAAGAAAUGAGCAGACUUUGUUAAUCGAUCCACAAUUACCAAUAUUGUAUCAUGUCCACGCGACGUACGGGGUAACUUGGUGAUAGAGUCCAUCGUAAGAUGUUCCCAUUUCCACUUAGGAAUCUCUGGUUGCUGCAGAAGCUCAGACGACUUCUGAUGUUCAGCCUUAACCUUUGAGCACGUCAGACAUUUACCCAUAGACCGAAAUAUCUCUCUUCAUAUUCGGCCACCAGUAUAACUCCUUGAUAUCCUGAUACAUCUUGGUAGAACCUGCGUGAAUGGAAUAUCUGAAUUUAUGAGCUUCGUUCAUAACCAGUUUACGUAGGUUACCUCUAAGCGGAACCCAAAUCCGGUUCAUGAAGUACAUCACUUCAUUCGCUUUUGGUAUCAGUUCGCAUUCUAAUCCUCUCAAACCUUUAAGGUUGAUUUUGGAGCUGCUGAAGGAAGAGAAGUUGUAUGCCAAGUUCUCUAAAUGUGAAUUCUGAAGGAAGAGAAGUUGAUUGACUGGCUGUGUUGACAGUAUUUUGUCAGAUACGUGCAGUAUCACGCGGUACGCGCUAAAACUCGAAAAAUAGAGUUUCUUAGCGUUUUAAUUUAUUUUUCCUUACGGACAUGAUUAAAAUUACCAUUCUAAUCAUAACAGACUAUUUUUAGGAUUUUAACAUUGAUCGGGUGGUCACCGACGUUCGUUUCGCAUUUUAUUCGUUACGCGAUAAGCGUUUAUCUUAUCGUUGCCAACAUAAUUUUUAUCAAUGUUUGGAUUCACCAACACAUUAAAUAUCACAUAUAAACAUCAAUAUCAGUUAAAUACAACCUUUUUAUUUAUUCAUGUCACGUGUUACAUCUGUACGGUACGGCCUAAAAAGCCGGGUGUCACACAUUCACAAUUGGGUUCGCAGAAACAUUAAUGUUGUAGUCUUCUAAAAAACAUGCUAGCUUCCGGCAUGCUUUAGUGUCAUGACUUGGAAUGUUACAAAAAUUACAAAAAAAUUAUAUCGGCUAGUUUGAUAAUGUUUCAUAUGCCCACUAUUGUGUUGGUGGGAUAGGCCAUUAUUAUAGUUGUGAGAUGGAGUGUUCCUUAGCCCAAAAGAGUUGGGCCUAUUUGUGUUUCGAGCUGCAGGGGAAGGCCUUGAAAAAGGUCUGGAUCCUUGUCGCUGAGUGCUAUUAACAGUAGUAACUACAGGUAUGGGGUUGGCGACUUGUAGCAAUCUCUCGUGAUCGACUAGUUUCUCAUAGAAUUCAGAGAAGGUUAUUGGAGUGUCACGGAUCUUCAAGGCUGCAGAGAUCUCUUUGUAGUCGUCACCAAGAUGAGUGAUGACGUGAACGAUGAGAUCAUCAUCAUCCACCGGCUUCUGGGCUAAGGCUAAUUCGCCGGCUAUUGCUUUCAUCUCAUUGAGGUAUUCUGCAACACGUUUGUUACCCUUACUAUGUGUAGCAAGUUUGGAUCGAAGGGAGAUGAUCAGGGACCGCGAAACUCUAGCGCAGCUCUCGGUGCACCGUUUAAAAAGCUCAUUGGAUGUGUCAGCAGAGGAGAUAAUUGGUUGAAUCAUAUCCGAACAACUUUCAAGAAGAGCUCCGAGGAGGAUCUGAUCUUGGUGGAACCAGUGACGGUAUUCAGGGUUGGGUUUUCCGUCAAGAGUUUUUGGUGGUGCUUCGGUUUUGCCGUCGACAAAUUGCUCGAGUUCGAACCCCAUUAGGGGGACAGUACUUAUUUACGCCAUGAGGGAAAAUUAUUGUCUGUGAGUUUGAUUGGGAAAUUGGUAUGGGUGGAUAGCUCAAUGAUCUUAGUGGAAGAUGACAUGAUGAAUAGGGCUGUGUAGAAUGGAUCGAAAAUCAGAGGAGUUGAAAAGCUCUGAUUACCAUAUAAUGGUUCAAUGUUCAGUGUGUUAAUUGAUACAAAACUGAUAAUUACAAGGCCUAAUAUAGACAAUAUUACAUAGGGAAAGAGCUAUAGUUAAGGGUCAGCAUCAUUACAGUUAAUACAUUCUAAAUAUACAUAUGGCAAAGAUUAGGUAGUGAUGAUGAAAUAUUCUUUAUGAUUUGGUAAUAUUCCUUAUAUGUGUUUCUUCUUUGUCCGAAUGUAAUGGGGUAACUUUUUGGUGUGAAUAUUAUAGCAAAUUUGGAUUAACUAAAGUGAGCCAGAUGCUUUUGCUUCUCAUCAAAAUAUUUAUUUUGUUGUGUGGUUCGUUUGGAAAGCUAAGAACGAAAUGGUGUUCUUUUUCGUGUGGAACAAACAUAGAUCAAAACUAUUAGUUGGUCCAAAUGGUUCUCCUCUCCUAGUGCGUGUUUCUAGCAUUUCGGCUCGGUUCUUUAGAUGAUGCAAGCUUCAGUCUCAUUGUUAUUGACGUCAACCAUGAAUGGUCUGUUGGUAAUGCAUGGUAUGACAAUCAACGGUAUAUUUUAUCCAUACAAGCUAAACAAGCGUUCUAUCUCCAAGAUCCUUCUCGAAUCACCAGCAAUGAAGACCAAAUUUUGAUCUCGAAAAGUAUAAAGACACAAAGGAGUGGCCAGGAUUUAGCUCAGAAUCUUUCCCAAGUGUCAAAGAAGUUACAAGGCGUGAAAACAAAAACUGAAAAACCAUUUCGAUAAUGUUGGUGGCUAUGGAGAUGUUGAAGCAAAGAUUCAUUCGUCGUUUGACUAUGGAUCUGAUCCAAAUAAGUAGAUUGAGCUCAUUGAUCAGUUGUUCACAAAUUCGAAAUAUAAGAACCAAUCCGAAACUACGCAAUAAAUAGAUCAAAACAGUGUUAUCAAAGUCUUUAUGGGAGUCAGUCAUAUCCCUAAAAGCGACACAUGAAGUUCCGUGAGUGAAAGGAAAAAAAUAUCUUGUUCAUGCUUUUGUUUUUGAAGCCGUUUGAAGCAUGGCAUGCCGUUGCAUACAUAUACAAUAGGACAAUUAAUAUAUUCAGGCGCGCUGAAAUUUCUGCUUAGAAAGAGGCACUUGUGAAUUUCUUAAUGGACCCAUUGGAAGGAAGAUCUACCCUUAGACCAGCCGACAUUUUGGUCUUCGGAUGGAUAGGGGAAAAACACGCGCGUGUGGAUCUAAUAGGGUUUCCCCUCUUGUUGGCUUAGGGGGUAGUGUUUUCAUGGUGGAUCAGGCUGCUUUAAAGGCUGCUUCGGACAAAGUUACCAAACACGAGAAAUCGUACCUUAACAAUGAGCACGUGUUUAUCCUAUUAGUUUUUGAUACCUUUGGUUUCCUUGUGCCAAAGGUUGUGGACCUACUUAGUCGAGUUCAAAGGGUCAUGCAUAGUAAUAUUAUGACCCCGCGAUUUAUGGAUGUAGUUUUUAAAAGACUUAGUUUUGCUAUUAAAAAAGGGGUAGCAGUGCAACUUGUUGCCUGUUUACUUUCU